GGGGCUGAUUCUGGAUUCGACGGGAUUUGCGAAACCCAAGGUGCAUGCCGAGGUGCGGAGGCCUCGUAAAAAACCGCAAAAAAAAUAAUUGCAAACGACUCGCAAUACGAAUCUGCUGCUGCUUUAGCAGCUUAAUCAGCCUAAGAAACUGAAGAUUCCCUCUCUCCCUAGCCUCCGCUCUUAGGACGGGGAUCAAGAGAGGUCAAACCUAAAAGAGAUCGCGUGGACACCUUGCCUGGGGUGAAAGCGUUAAAUCCAAUCAGGAUAGUUUGUUAGUGGCGUGUCCGUCCGCAGCUAACCGGCGAAUGUAAUGACUGGACUAAGCAUGUAGUGCCAACGGCGUAGUAAUUUCGGACGGGGGUUCAAAUCCCCCCAGCUCCACCA
rnacentral:tmRNA from 1 species